rnacentral:rRNA from 1 species
ACGAAAUGCCUCGGGGAGCCGUAAGCAGGCUUUGAUCCGGGGAUGUCCGAAUGGGGAAACCCGGCUGGAGUAAUGUCCAGUCACUCAUAACUGAAUACAUAGGUUAUGAAGAGGCAGACCAGGGGAACUGAAACAUCUAAGUACCCUGAGGAAGAGAAAACAAUAGUGAUUCCGUCAGUAGCGGCGAGCGAACGCGGAUUAGCCCAAACCAAGGAGCUUGCUUCUUGGGGUUGUAGGGCGUCUCACAUGGAGUUACAAAGGUGUUGGGUAGACGAAGAGGUCUGGAAAGGCCCGCUAUAAGAGGUAAAAGCCCUGUAGUCCAAAGUCAGCACUCUCCGAGACGUACCCUGAGUACCGCGAGACACGUGAAACCUCGUGGGAAUCCGGCAGGACCAUCUGCCAAGGCUAAAUACUCCCUAGCGACCGAUAGUGAAGCAGUACCGUGAGGGAAAGGUGAAAAGCACCGCGGAAGCGGAGUGAAAAAGAACCUGAAACCGUGCGCUUACAAAAAGUCAGAGCCCUCUAUAUGGGUGAUGGCGUGCCUUUUGUAGAAUGAACCGGCGAGUUACGUUCCCAUGCAAGGUUAAGGUGAAGAGCCGGAGCCGCAGCGAAAGCGAGUCUGAAUAGGGCGACAUAGUAUGUGGACGUAGACCCGAAACCGUGUGAUCUACCCCUGUCCAGGGUGAAGGUGCGGUAACACGCACUGGAGGCCCGAACCCACGAAUGUUGAAAAAUUCGGGGAUGAGGUGGGGGUAGCGGAGAAAUUCCAAUCGAACUCGGAGAUAGCUGGUUCUCCCCGAAAUAGCUUUAGGGCUAGCCUCGGAGUAAAGAGUCGUGGAGGUAGAGCACUGAUUGGGUGCGGGGCCCGCCAAGGGUUACCAAGUCCAGUCAAACUCCGAAUGCCAUGUACUUAUAUCCGGGAGUCAGACAGUGAGUGCUAAGAUCCAUUGUCAAGAGGGAAACAGCCCAGACCAUCAGCUAAGGUCCCCAAGUGUGUGUUAAGUGGGAAAGGAUGUGGAGUUGCAAAGACAACCAGGAUGUUGGCUUAGAAGCAGCCACCAUUUAAAGAGUGCGUAAUAGCUCACUGGUCGAGUGACUCUGCGCCGAAAAUGUAACGGGGCUAAACACACCACCGAAGCUAUGGAUUGAU